GAUGAACGCUGGCGGCGUGCCUAAUACAUGCAAGUCGAGCGAACAGAUAAGGAGCUUGCUCCUUUGAAGUUAGCGGCGGACGGGUGAGUAACACGUGGGUAACCUACCUAUAAGACUGGGAUAACUUCGGGAAACCGGAGCUAAUACCGGAUAACAUUUAGAACCGCAUGGUUCUAAAGUGAAAGAUGGUUUUGCUAUCACUUAUAGAUGGACCCGCGCCGUAUUAGCUAGUUGGUAAGGUAACGGCUUACCAAGGCGACGAUACGUAGCCGACCUGAGAGGGUGAUCGGCCACACUGGAACUGAGACACGGUCCAGACUCCUACGGGAGGCAGCAGUAGGGAAUCUUCCGCAAUGGGCGAAAGCCUGACGGAGCAACGCCGCGUGAGUGAUGAAGGGUUUCGGCUCGUAAAACUCUGUUAUUAGGGAAGAACAAAUGUGUAAGUAACUGUGCACAUCUUGACGGUACCUAAUCAGAAAGCCACGGCUAACUACGUGCCAGCAGCCGCGGUAAUUACGUAGGUGGCAAGCGUUAUCCGGAAUUAUUGGGCGUAAAGCGCGCGUAGACGGUUUCUUAAGUCUGAUGUGAAAGCCCACGGCUCAACCGUGGAGGGUCAUUGGAAACUGGGAAACUUGAGUGCAGAAGAGGAAAGUGGAAUUCCAUGUGUAGCGGUGAAAUGCGCAGAGAUAUGGAGGAACACCAGUGGCGAAGGCGACUUUCUGGUCUGUAACUGACGCUGAUGUGCGAAAGCGUGGGGAUCAAACAGGAUUAGAUACCCUGGUAGUCCACGCCGUAAACGAUGAGUGCUAAGUGUUAGGGGGUUUCCGCCCCUUAGUGCUGCAGCUAACGCAUUAAGCACUCCGCCUGGGGAGUACGACCGCAAGGUUGAAACUCAAAGGAAUUGACGGGGACCCGCACAAGCGGUGGAGCAUGUGGUUUAAUUCGAAGCAACGCGAAGAACCUUACCAAAUCUUGACAUCCUUUGAAAACUCUAGAGAUAGAGCCUUCCCCUUCGGGGGACAAAGUGACAGGUGGUGCAUGGUUGUCGUCAGCUCGUGUCGUGAGAUGUUGGGUUAAGUCCCGCAACGAGCGCAACCCUUAAGCUUAGUUGCCAUCAUUAAGUUGGGCACUCUAGGUUGACUGCCGGUGACAAACCGGAGGAAGGUGGGGAUGACGUCAAAUCAUCAUGCCCCUUAUGAUUUGGGCUACACACGUGCUACAAUGGACAAUACAAAGGGCAGCUAAACCGCGAGGUCAUGCAAAUCCCAUAAAGUUGUUCUCAGUUCGGAUUGUAGUCUGCAACUCGACUACAUGAAGCUGGAAUCGCUAGUAAUCGUAGAUCAGCAUGCUACGGUGAAUACGUUCCCGGGUCU
rnacentral:rRNA from 1 species